UACGUAGGGGGCAAGCGUUGUCCGGAUUUAUUGGGCGUAAAGAGCGUGUAGGCGGCUCGGUAAGUCCGCUGUGAAAGUCCAGGGCUCAACCCUGGAAUGCCAGUGGAAACUGUCGAGCUAGAGUCCGGAAGAGGCGAGUGGAAUUCCUGGUGUAGCGGUGAAAUGCGCAGAUAUCAGGAGGAACACCAAUGGCGAAGGCAGCUCGCUGGGACGGUACUGACGCUGAGGAGCGAAAGCGUGGGGAGCGAACAGG
rnacentral:rRNA from 1 species